GGAAUAUUGGACAAUGGGCGAAAGCCUGAUCCAGCAAUGCCGCGUGAGUGAUGAAGGCCUUAGGGUUGUAAAGCUCUUUUACCCGGGAUGAUAAUGACAGUACCGGGAGAAUAAGCUCCGGCUAACUCCGUGCCAGCAGCCGCGGGAAUACGGAGGGAGCUAGCGUUGUUCGGAAUUACUGGGCGUAAAGCGCACGUAGGCGGCUUGGCAAGUCAGAGGUGAAAGCCCAGGGCUCAACCCUGGAAUUGCCUUUGAGACUGCAUCGCUAGAAUUGUGGAGAGGUAAGUGGAAUUCCGAGUGUAGAGGUGAAAUUCGCAGAUAUUCGGAAGAACACCAGUGGCGAAGGCGACUUACUGGACACAUAUUGACGCUGAGGUGCGAAAGCGUGGGGAGCAAAC
rnacentral:rRNA from 1 species